GGCUUUUGCUGUGCUGGAAGCCGGCAAUAAAAAUAUGGGAGGUCUGGCGUUUUGUGUUCCUAGAAUUCGGCAGGCACUCUCUUUUCCAUAUUUUAACCCUUCAUUGAGAGCACCUUCCCAGAGGGAGUGAAUUCUCCAGGCUGAGCUCCUGGAGAUGAUGGUGAUGCCUGGAAUCCCAGCCCAGCACGGGAAAACGUGAGCAGCAGCCCUGGGCACAGAGAAUCCUGGCUUGUGUGCUCACACAGAGCUUUGGAGGAGGAGAUGCAGAUAAACACUGGCCACAAACAUGUGUUGGAGUAUUUUUCUCCAAGUCUGACUGGAAGCUGAUUAAGUUAUGGUACAAGAACUUCUCUUUCAAAACUUUCUUUGCAGCUUCUAAGUAGCUCUGUGUAACCUGGGGCUGCAGUGGCCUCUGUGACUCUUGUUACCUUAUUAUCAUAUUAUUGUCAGCACCUCAACUCAGAGCCACUUUGAUUGUGACAGCAAGCUCAGUUAGUUCAUCAUGGGUUCCUUGAGAACCUUGAAUUCUGUAUCUCCUCAUGGCUUUUUAUUCAUAAGCACAUUUGAAGACUAUUUUGUGCUAGUGAUCUGGAAUAAGUGUCCUUUUUUCAACAGCUACAUGAGAGCUCUCUUGAAAAUUCUGACUUUGCUUAUGAUUGCUUGUGGAUAUAAGACAGAAAAUGUGCAGUUGGGGAUCUAAUGUGUAAUUAAUGUUCAUAUAAUUAAUACUGUAGGGACUAGUAAGUAGGCCAGUUCUAAAAUUCUGCUAGUUUAAAAGUAAAGAAUUGGAGAUAAUGUGUUUGUAUAUUUAAUUGACUUCAAUUUAUAGUUGGGAGGCAAUGCACUUUGGUUUAAACACUAAAGCUAUGUCUCUGUGAGAUGCUCCUGUGCUGUCUUGACCAGGAUUUUACAGGAAACCUAUCUCGCACAAAUAUUCAGUGAAACUACAAUGUUCUUUACUGUAAUCUUCUGUACAGAGUUUCAACCAGAGGAUGAUUCUGUCUGGGGGAGCAUGUACAUUAUCUCUGUUUUUAAAUCUAUCACUUGCAGCUACAUGUCCUAGAAAUAGUUACCUAGUUCAGGGGGUUAACUCCCAAUUCCAGGAUAAAUUAUCAUAAAGAUAAAUUCAGAGAAAAAUUUCUCGAUAUUUGCAUUAUUUGUUAGCUGAGAAGUUCUAAAAUAG